UCAAGAAACUUCCAUCAAAUAGAUUCAUGCGUGAGAUCUCGCUUAAAACCAUAUAUAUCAACAGGUAAACAAGAAAUCAAUUGAAACAAUAUAGAAACAGAGUAUAACUUCAACACAUAAAUAGGAAGAUCAAAGUGAAAUCCGUUGAAAAGAGGAAGAGCUUUUGACGUACAUCACUUGCAAGCUCUAAUUUUCUAGAUCCCAAUUGAAACAACUCGAUAGAUUAUU
rnacentral:lncRNA from 1 species